rnacentral:rRNA from 1 species
UACGUAGGGGGCUAGCGUUGUCCGGAUUUAUUGGGCGUAAAGAGCUCGUAGGCGGCUUGUCGCGUCGACUGUGAAAACCCGCGGCUCAACCGUGUGGCUUGCAGUUGAUACGGGCAGGCUAGAGUUCGGUAGGGGAGACUGGAAUUCCUGGUGUAGCGGUGAAAUGCGCAGAUAUCAGGAGGAACACCGGUGGCGAAGGCGGGUCUCUGGGCCGAUACUGACGCUGAGGAGCGAAAGCGUGGGGAGCGAACAGG